rnacentral:rRNA from 1 species
GCCGGACAGAUCGUGUAUGCGAUUCAGACUGGAAGAGAUAAGUUGGACAGUCAAAAGGGAAAGAGCCCAGACCGCCGGCUAAGGUCCCAAAGUGGGUGUUAAGUGGAAAAGGAUGUGGGAUCUCUAAGACAACCAGGAUGUUGGCUCAGAAGCAGCCAUUCAUUAAAAGAGUGCGUAACAGCUCACUGGUCGAGAGGUCCUGCGCCGAAAAUGUCCGGGGCUGAAACACCACACCGAAGCCGCGGAACCCGUAAGGGUUGGUAGAGGAGCAUUCUUAGGGGAGCGAAGCAUUACCGUAAGGGGAUGUGGACUGCUAAGAAGAGAGAAUGCCGGAAUGAGUAGCGAGAGCAAGGUGAGAAUCCUUGCGGCCGAAUAUCCAAGGUUUCCAGAGUAAAGCUGAUCUGCUCUGGGUAAGUCGGGGCCUAAGGAGAGGCAGAGAUGCGUAUCCGAUGGACAGCAGGUUUAAGAUUCCUGCACCCCUUGUUAUCAGAACUGCGGGGACACGGGAAGGGAAGCAGAGCCGGGAAUGGAAAGCCCGGUGCAAGCGAAGGAGUCGCAGGGUUGGAAAAUCCGCCCUGCAUGAGACGAAGGCGUGAUGCGGAGCGAAAUGAAGUAGUGAAGCUGCGGCCCCUUCCUGUCGAGAAAAGCCGCUAUCGUGUAGCAAGGGCCCGUACCGUAAACCGACACAGGUGGAUGAGGAGAGGAUCCUAAGGCCGGCGGGAGAAGUGUUGUUAAGGAACUCGGCAAAAUGACUCCGUAACUUCGGGAGAAGGAGUGCUGCGCAAGCAGCCGCAGAGAAAUGGCCCAAGCAACUGUUUAGCAAAAACACAGGUCUAUGCGAAACCGAAAGGUGAGGUAUAUGGGCUGACGCCUGCCCGGUGCUGGAAGGUUAAGGGGAGAGCUUAGCGCAAGCGAAGGUUUGAACUUAAGCCCCAGUAAACGGCGGCCGUAACUAUAACGGUCCUAAGGUAGCGAAAUUCCUUGUCGGGUAAGUUCCGACCCGCACGAAAGGCGUAAUGAUUUGGGCACUGUCUCAACAACACACCCGGUGAAAUUGAAAUACCAGUGAAGAUGCUGGUUACCCGCGCCAGGACGGAAAGACCCCAUGGAGCUUUACUCCAGCCUGAUACUGGGAUUCGGUAUUGCAUGUACAGGAUAGGUGGGAGGCUAAGAACUUAUGGCGCCAGCCGUAAGGGAGCCAUUGUUGGGAUACCACCCCUGCAGUACUGGGUUUCUAACCUGCGCCCGUGACCCGGGCGGGGGACAAUGUCAGGCGGGGAGUUUGACUGGGGCGGUCGCCUCCGAAAGGGUAUCGGAGGCGCUCAAAGGUCUCCUCAGGAUGGUUGGAAACCAUCCAGAGAGUGCAAAGGCAGAAGGAGGCUUGACUGCGACACCGACGGGUGGAGCAGGUACGAAAGUAGGACUUAGUGAUCCGGUGGCAUAACGUGGGAUUGCCAUCGCUCAACGGAUAAAAGCUACCCUGGGGAUAACAGGCUUAUCACUCCCAAGAGUUCACAUCGACGGAGUGGUUUGGCACCUCGAUGUCGGCUCAUCGCAUCCUGGAGCUGGAGCAGGUUCCAAGGGUUGGGCUGUUCGCCCAUUAAAGCGGUACGCGAGCUGGGUUCAGAACGUCGUGAGACAGUUCGGUCCCUAUCCGGCGCGGGCGCAGGAUAUCUGAGAGGAGCUGUCCUUAGUACGAGAGGACCGGGAUGGACCGUCC